GGGCAUAUGGUUUAGUGGUAUAAUGCUCCCUUAGCAAGACAAUUCAUUCUGAAUGUCUAAUAUGGGAGCGGUCCUGGGUUCGAUUCCCAGUAUGUCCA